ensembl:processed_transcript AV039307 expressed sequence AV039307
AGAACUACUUAUUCUACUGGCAUAUUCACUCGAUACGUGUUUCCAGAUGACUCCAUACUCACUUUAGGAAAAUGCAGACUCCAGCACCACAAUGAAGCGCAUGAAAAACGCACGCUCCAACCUCUUCCCCAUUCACUAUUUCUUGGCAACAGAUGUUCUGAGAACACAGGAUGGCCCCACAGAAAAGACAGAGGACAGGAUGCUUUCGCUCAUCAUCUGCAGACCGUGGACACCUCAACAGGGGAAGACACAUUCAGUGUGUUGGAAAACAAGAAGCACAUCAUGUAUCUAUUUAGUAAUAAAGCCUGUUCCAUCACUCACCCU